UACGGAGGUGCGAGCGUUAAUCGGAAUACUGGGCGUAAAGCGUGCGCAGGCGGUGAUGUAAGACAGAUGUGAAAUCCCCGGGCUCAACCUGGGAACUGCAUUUGUGACUGCAUCGCUGGAGUGCGGCAGAGGGGGGAUGGAAUUCCGCGUGUAGCGGUGAAAUGCGUAGAGAUGUGGAGGAAUACCGAUGGCGAAGGCAGCCCCCCUGGGAUAACACUGACGCUCAGGCACGAAAGCGUGGGGAGCAAACAGG
rnacentral:rRNA from 1 species